CUACACCACAGCUCACAGCAACACCGGAUCCUUAACCCACUGAGCAAGGCCAAGGAUGGAACCUGCAUCCUCAUGGAUACUGGACAGGUUCGUUAACAGCCAUGAUGGGAACUCCAGGUAGCCAGGUUUUCAAAGCCGGCAAUCAACAUGAUAUAAAACUCAACAAGAUGUUCAUGUAUUUAUAUCUAUAUAUACAUUUUGUUUUGGGUACCCUGCGGGAUAUGGAGUUUCCAGGCCAGGGAUCAGAUCUGAGCCGCAGUUGUGACCUGCAGAACGCCAGAUCCUUUAACCCACUGUGACAGGCAGGGGUCCAACCUACAUCCGUCCAGCUGCUACAGAGAUGCUUCCAAUCCUGUUGUACCACCGCAGGAACUCCUCAUGUAUAUGUUUUUAGGAGAGGAACAGAUAAAACCAGGUCGGCCCAUCAGCUUUCCUUGCUGUGUGGCCCUGGGUAACUUAAUUACCUUCUCUGGGUAACCUAUGGUUGUCAGCCUCGGUUAAGGAGUGCUGGAGGGUGUUUGACAAGACUGUUAAAUGCAUAGCGUGACAUCUGACAUUAGGUAAGCUGUGCUCAGCAGUUACCAUUGUUACUGUUAUUAGCCUGUAUCUUCUCACUCCACACCUCAGCUCCCAUCUCAGUGAAGUGGGGGUGCUCUGAAAUUUCCCUGGCCUGUGCAGCAGGGUCUCGGGGCUCUGCUCUCAUGGGGUGUUUUUGGCAUACGUGGAACAGGAAUGUGCAAACAAUUUUUCUGCCCCCCAGCACCGCAAUUAGUGCCAGAAGGGAUCUUUGGCAGAAACAGAGUAGUGGGGAGACCCACCUGGGGGCUUUAGCUGACGGUCAGACAACAGGGUCCAAACACCGGUGAUCAAUCCAAACCUUUCACAAGAAAGGGAUCCUGGAGUUGGAGGGGAACUGAGCCCCCUCCUCCAAGGACCCACCAGACCCCUCCUAGUCAAAAGCACAAGACCCAAAAGUGAGGCCUCAGGCUGUCUGUGUAUUGAUCCCAGGCUCAUCGCUACCACCUGGUGCUGUGUGAGUUUGAAUAUGUCGUCCCCUCUCUUCGUACCUCAGUUUCCCCAUCUUAAAAAUGGGGGUGAUGAUCACAUGUCCCUUUUGGAGAAGUUUCAAAGAUUAAAUGAGUCAUUGGAGGUGUAACUUGCAGCCUACCAUAGUCAAAGGAAUGACUAAGUAUUAACUGUUGAAAGGUAUACCAUUUCAUAUGGCACGGGCUUGUCAACCCUCCUAGGUGCUCAUCGCAGCCCCUCAUCCCGCAGGGGCUGCCAUUCACAUAUCUGGGUUGUAUGGCCUCCCUUGCACCUGACACAGCCUGAAAUUAUAGCCCUGGUUUGUUUGCUUAUUGUUCAUUACCUGACGCUCCCCCAUUAGGAGGUCAGUGCCGUGAGGGCAGGGAAUUUUGUCCUCGUGGUUGCUGCCUUGUUCCCCGAGGCAUGUGGCACCCACAAAGUGCUCAGUCAUCAAUUUGCCGAGUGAUCAAAGGAGAGAAGUAAACGGUGGUGCAGUUCGGCUCCAGUAUAUGGAUGAGAAAAAUAGAGGCUCAGAGAUGUCAAAUGACUUGCAUGAGGACACAUAGCCAGAGUCAGCAGACUUCCCAUAAUGUAAAUAUGUUAGACCUGUCGGGUCACCUGUGGUUUCUAUUGCAUAGUCUUCUUUCUCUUUUGACAACCCUUUAAAAUUGUACAAGAACCUUUUUCUUCAUUAUUGCCUCCUCUAAAGAGCUGUUUUAGACAGUUUUCUCCCUAAUCACUCACCCCAUGGAGUUUUAAUAGCACAGCUAUAGUAUAUAUCUAUUUAUAUACUGUAUCUAUAUGUGUAUAUACAUAAAAAGAACAAAAAUUUUUAGCCCCCUUCAUCCCCCCCACCAAAAACCAAUUUUUGCCCCCACUGAGAAUGGAUGGAUCUAGAACAGGGUUUCUCCCCCUCUGCUGACAUGGAUGGGGUCAUUCUCUGUGGGGCUGUUCUGGGUUCUGUGGGGCAUGAAGCAGCCUCCCUGCCCCCACGCCCUCGAUGCCAGGAGCCCCCCAGUGGUGACAAAUACAGGUGUCCCCAAACAUCAUCUUAGGAGGCAGGAUCACCCCAGUUAAGAAUCUCUUGAGUUCCCGUUGUGGCGCAGUGGAAAUGAAUACGCCUAGUAUCCAUGAGGACGUGGGUUCGAUCCCUGGCCUCGAUCAGUGGGUUGAUCGCAGAUGCAGCUUGGAUCCCGCAUUGCUGUGGCUGUGGUGUAGGCCAGUGGAUGUAGCUCUGAUUCAACCCCUAGCCUGGGAACUUCCCCAUGCUGUGGGUGCAGCCCUAAAAAGCAUAGUAAAUAAAUAAAUUAAAUAGACAUCAGCUUUGGGAUUUGAUUUCAUCUAUGGUGUCACGAAGCUCUUAACACAGUAAAAAUUCAGCAGAUGAAAGCUGCCUGCCUGGGGGCUGGGGCAUCUUGGGACUCUGGACAUGAGCCAGCCUUUAGGCGUUAUCCAUUCAGGGUACAUCUGGGUCCAUUUUAGGGCUGGAUCUCUAAGUAGAUAGGAGGAGGAAGAAUUAUCUGUGCCCUGUUUUUUGUGUUGUGGGUUGUUUUUUUUUUUUUCUUUUUUUUUUUUUUCCCUGAUUUUUCAUGGAAACAUCCAGGGCAGCUCAACCUGAUAGAACUUUCUGUAAUGACAGCAUAUGUGGCGCCAUCCAGUUCAGUCGCCACCAACCACAUGUGCCUAUUGAGUAUUGAGAGAGGUGUGGCUGAAGUCCUGAAAAUUGAACUUAAUUUCAGUUUAGCCAAUUUAAAUUUCAAAUCACACAUGGUGAGGGGCUCCAUAGUGGACAACUCUGGAAGACAGGGAGUUGCCAGGAGCCAAAUGACAGGAAAGUUGUCAACAGGUGGGUGAGAAAUAGUUUGAGGUUUUAGAGAUGACUAAAAAUAAGACGGCAUAAUAAAAAAGGAAGGAGAUUCUGACACCUGCUACAACGUGGAUCAACCUUGAGGACGUGAUGCUCAGUGAGAGAAGCCAGGCAGAGAAGGACAAAGACUGUCUGAUUCCACUCCCAGGAGGUCCCUAGAGGAGUCAGAUCCACAGAGACAGGAAGGAGAUGGUGGGGCGGGGGCUGCCGGAGGGGAGGGAGAGUCAGUAUUUCAUGUGGACAGAGUUUCAGUUUGGGAAGAUAGAGAAAGUCCUGGAGAUGGAUGGUGGGGAUGGUUGCACAACAAUGUGAAUAUGAUUAAUAUAACUGUGCAUUUAUAAAUAGUUAAAUGUUAAAUUUUAUGUGAGUAUAUUUGAACCGUAUCUAAAAAUGAAUUUGAAAAGUUUUAAUGAGAUGGCAUAUAAUUACAGCAUCAUAUUAUUUAGAAGCUGCACUUAUUUAAAUUAAAAAAAAAAAAAAAACCUCCCAGGACUAUAGCAAAAAAGAGCGUCUUCAGCCCAAUAAAGGGAUCUGCAGAAACCCAUAGCUAAUAUCAUUCUUAGUGGUGAGAGACUGAAUGGGUUACCCUAACAUCAGAAACUGGGACAUCUGCUCUCAUCAUGUCUAGUCAACAUGGUUCUAGAAGUCUAGCCAGUACAGUAAAGCAAGAAAAAGAAAUCAGAGGCAUACAGAUUAGGAAGGAAGAAAUAAAA
rnacentral:lncRNA from 1 species